UACGUAGGGGGCAAGCGUUGUCCGGAUUUAUUGGGCGUAAAGAGCGUGUAGGCGGCUUUGCAAGUCCGUUGUGAAAACUUGAGGCUCAACCUCGAGACGCCGGUGGAAACUGCAAAGCUAGAGUCCGGGAAAGAGGGAGAGUGGGAAAUUUCCUGGGUGUAGCGGGUGAAAUGCGCAGAUAUCAGGGAAAGAACACCGUGGCGAAGGCGGCUCUCUGGACGGUACUGCGCUGAAGACGCGAAAGCCGUGGGAGCGAAACAGGG
rnacentral:rRNA from 1 species